rnacentral:lncRNA from 1 species
UUCAGAACCUUGGAAUUGGCAGCAAAUGGAAAUUCAACUCUUCAUCAGACAUACCUGGCGCAGUUUUGAUCAUCUUGGUCUCAGCCUUAAGAUCUAAGGAACUGUGCUGGAUAGAGCGGGGGUACAGGAAAAGAGACUGAAAAAGAACUGAGAUGUCACUUUUGCCACCCUUGCCCUUGUCUCUGACUUCACUGGCAGAUUUUAGGACUGAUGCAAGGAGGCUGCUGACUGACAGCCCUGUGGAGAGAAACUCGGAACCAGUAUUAAUGACGGCCAGCCUGCCUGCUGGGAGAGUGACACC